rnacentral:rRNA from 1 species
GGCGGUUGCUGCCGCGUCCGUCGGGGUGGGUCAAACUCGCAAGUCACCACGCCACGUCCCCAUCAACCGUCGGACUCCACGCGGCGAAGCAAACUAAACCAUCUCGCCGGCUCGACGCUCGCUCGCAGCUGCCUCCAUCUAUCCACCUCCUCGCCCUGCCGCCCCGACCUUAAAACAAUCCGGCCAACCAACCCCACUGCCCGAUCAGGCGAUCACCACCACACCACAGCUACAUCCACCGCAACCCGACGCACUGCCCACGACGGACUGCUGUCUGUCUUGGCGUGCAGGUUCCGACGGCGCGUGGGGCAUGGAGAAGAAACUGCCGCUGGCGCUGGCGCUGGCGCAGAAGCACGGCGCCGGGGAGCCCGCGUGGGCGCGGCCGUGGCGGUGGGCCAAGACGGCCUUCUUCCUCGUCGCCAUGCUCGCCUCGCUGCUGCUCGUCUGCGCGCCGCCCCUCCUCGUCGUGCUCCUCGACCUCGCCCUCCCGCCCAUGCUCCUCUCCGCGCACCUCCGCGCCGGCGCCGACCCCCCGCACCGCUCCUUCCUCCCGGCCGUGCUCGACCAGGCGCGGGCGUUCGAGUUCCGGUCCUCCCUCGUCGACCUGCCCGCCGUCUCCGCCGCGCGAGCCCUGCUCAUCCUCUGCGCGUACACGGUGUGCGGGGGAGGAGGAGGCGCGUACCUGUGGGUGGUGGCGGCGAGCGCCGCGGCGUCCGUGUCGUACGUGCUGGCCAAGGCGGCCGCCGUGCUGCCGCGCGGCGCCGCGCCGCAGGGGAAGGGCGCCGCCGGGCCGGAGCCCAUGCUCCUGCUGUCCCUGUCGCUCGCGGCCGCGCACCUCGCCGUCGCGUACCGGACCAGCUGCCGCGAGCGCCGCCGCUUGCUCGUCUACCGGAUCGACGUGGAGGCCGUGAGUACCCUCGCCCCCUCGCCACCUCGCCUUUACUUCUCCGUAAAUUGCACUGCCAUCCAUGGCUGAAAAAAUCCACGUUUGCGUGAUGAAAGAUAAUACUCUACUACUAUCUCGCCGAGCCGAAGGCGUGAUUCCUGAGAACAAUCCAGGCAUUAGGCUGGGUUGUCGUCUGUGCUUUCGGUGAGAAAGAGGGUCGAGGAACCAAAUACGAUUCCCUCGCCAAGUCAUUAACGCGUAGCUGCCGAAAUGUUUAAGCUAAAAGGAGUACGCACUAUUCUACUAACAAGGAAAGUAAGUCAUCUAUAAAAAUGUAUCGGACGCUUCUGGCACUCUGCACCGGAUGAGAAAAACAGAGAGCUUUUAUUUUCUGAUUAUUACUGAAUCAGCAUCUGAAAAAAUAGCCAUUUUCAUUUGUGAAUGCAGGUACGGCUGAAAGGAGGCCACCAGACACCCAAGGGGCUCAAGCAGUGCAGCGUCUGACAUGGUGUUCUCAACUUCUCAUCCGUACUUGUAGUACACAGUACUAGUUGGAGAUAGUUUUUCUUGGUAGCCAAAAUUUUGUUAAGUUAUUAUGCAAAAAUUGUGAGGUCCAUCGGUGCUUUUUUGUAAGUGGAGAUACUGUAAAUAUGGAACUGUCGUGCUUAGCUUAGUUCGGCCUCCCGCAAUGCAAUCGCAACGAAAUGCAGGACGAGCCGUGUGGCCGGCACCUUGUUUUGUGUGCUCACUCUCCUGCUUUCAUGCAGUUACAGCCUUGCUUAUAGUAGAGGUCCUAUUUUUUUCUAGAAACAUACCACUUCCUUCUCUAAUGUCACACGCGGAGGAGGAAAAUUCAGUGAUGCACCUAUCGUUUUUGUGCGAAAUUUCGUGUUCGCUGGAGAAGUUUUCGGAAACGCCGUAGAAGAUUCUGCUCCUAACGCUUCAGACAAAAUUAGUCGACGACGAAAACUGAAGGAAGGAGCACGUCGCUGUUCGAAAUCUGAACUUGUGAUCUGUUCUCCGGUUUGCCGUUUGUGGCUGUAGAGUUCAGAAACGAGCCAGCGUUUUCAAAGCGGCAAUAGCGAUUUGAUGGCAUCACGUCGGGCGAGCCUCAUUCGCCGAGGCCAAGUGGAACCCGUGGAAGUGCAGAUAUGUCGUCCGCCAUGACGCUCGGCCGAGGCGGCGUUUUUAUCGGUGGCGUGGCCGGGGGACGUGCGAGCUACUCGUACCUGGUAGUGCGAAGCUACGGCCUACGGGGGAGAAGUGCCGUUCGUUUGCCAGGCACGAUCUCGCUACC